UACAGAGGUGGCAAGCGUUGUUCGGAAUUACUGGGCGUAAAGGGCGCGUAGGCGGCCUUCUAAGUCAGACGUGAAAUCCCCAGGCUUAACUUGGGAACUGCGUCUGAUACUGGGAGGCUUGAAUGCGGGAGAGGGAUGUGGAAUUCCAGGUGUAGCGGUGAAAUGCGUAGAUAUCUGGAGGAACACCGGUGGCGAAGGCGGCAUCCUGGACCGACAUUGACGCUGAGGCGCGAAAGCCAGGGGAGCAAACGGG
rnacentral:rRNA from 1 species